GAGAGGUUGAACGGCCACAUUGGGACUGAGACACGGCCCAAACUCCCACGGGAGGCAGCAGUAGGGAAUUUUCGGCAAUGGAGGAAACUCUGACCGAGCAACGUCGCGUGAACGAUGAAGUAUUUCGGUAUGUAAAGUUCUUUUAUUGAAGAAGAAAAAAUAGUGGAAAAACUAUCUUGACGCUAUUCAAUGAAUAAGCCCUGGCUAAUUAUGUGCCAGCAGCCGCGGUAAUACAUAAAGGGCGAGCGUUAUCCGGAAUUAUUGGGCGUAAAGGGUGCGUAGGCGGUUUGUUAAGUCUUUAGUUUAAUCUCAGUGCUUAACGCUGUUCUGCUAGAGAAACUGACUUACUAGAGUGAGAUAGAGGCAAGUGGAAUUCCAUGUGUCAGCGGUAAAAUGCGUAAAUAUAUGGAGGAACACCAGAGGCGUAGGCGGCUUGCUGGGUCUUUACUGACGCUGAGGCACGAAAGCGUGGGGAGCAAACAGGAUUAGAUACCCUGGUAGUCCACGCCGUAAACGAUGAGUACUAAGUGUCGGGGAAACUCGGUACUGAAGUUAACACAUUAAGUACUCCGCCUGAGUAGUACGUACGCAAGUAUGAAACUUAAAGGAAUUGACGGGAUCCCGCACAAGCGGUGGAUCAUGUUGUUUAAUUCGAAGAUACACGAAAAACCUUACCAGGUCUUGACAUACUCUGCAAAGCUGUAGAAAUACAGUGGAGGUUAUCAGGGAUACAGGUGGUGCAUGGUUGUCGUCAGCUCGUGUCGUGAGAUGUUAGGUUAAGUCCUAGAACGAGCGCAACCCUUGUCGUUAGUUACCAGCACGUUAUGGUGGGCACUUUAACGAGACUGCCAAUGAAAUAUUGGAGGAAGGUGAGGAUUACGUCAAAUCAUCAUGCCCCUU
rnacentral:rRNA from 1 species